GUAUAACGUGUUUGUCCUCUUUCUUGACAUGUUUUUCGAACACGUGCCUCUUAAAAUGAAGUCCUUGAUGUCUAUCUGAACAAGAACAGGGAUCAGGAGGAACUGCGCUUCAGAAACCUGGAAGAGAUUUUUAAUUAUCUGAAUGAUCUAGAUGAAGAGACAUGGCACCUUCACCUCGAAGGCCAUUCUAAGUCAGCACCAGGUAACUGUGCCCCACUUUUUAUCUGGAUAGGGGGUCCUCUGCCUGGGUCAAAGCCAGAUUAUAUAAAUGGAAAUAAAGAAAGACAAUGUUAUGUUUAUUUAGGUAACUCCACAUAGGUUUUUUAAAAGGAACAUAAAAACCACAGAGAAAAGAAGACAACAACAUACGGGGUGGGGGUGGGGGGAGACAAGCGAUCUCUUCCAGAAGUUUAAAGAAAUUCAAGAGAAACCCUAAUUAGGAAUGCUGAAUUCCUAAUGGAAGGACACUAUCUGACCAGGAGAGAAUGAAGGCGGAAACAAUAUAGAGAGAAGAAAUAAACGGAUGGCAGACUUCUUUGAAGUGGUAGCCCUAUUAGCCUAUGCAAGAAUAUCAGGCAAAAUCCAAAGAAACAAGACAAGACAAGAAAAAAAAAGAUAAAAACUUGUGGCACCUUAAAAGACUAACCAUUAUACUGUACUUUAAUGUAAGCUUUUGUGGACAUGUCCACUUCAUAAGACAUAAAGAAACAGGUUGAAAUGAAA